UACAGAGGUCUCAAGCGUUGUUCGGAUUCAUUGGGCGUAAAGGGUGUGUAGGUGGCGCGCUAAGUCGGGUGUGAAAUUUCGGAGCUUAACUCCGAAACUGCAUUUGAUACUGCCUUGCUUGAGGACUGGAGAGGAGACUGGAAUUCACGGUGUAGCAGUGAAAUGCGUAGAGAUCGUGAGGAAGACCAGUGGCGAAGGCGGGUCUCUGGACAGUUCCUGACACUGAGGCACGAAGGCCAGAGGAGCAAACGGG
rnacentral:rRNA from 1 species